UACGUAGGGGGCGAGCGUUGUCCGGAAUUAUUGGGCGUAAAGAGCGUGUAGGCGGUUCGGUAAGUCCGCCGUGAAAACCUGGGGCUCAACCCUGGGCGUGCGGUGGAUACUGCUGGGCUAGAGGAUGGUAGAGGCGAGUGGAAUUCCCGGUGUAGCGGUGAAAUGCGCAGAUAUCGGGAGGAACACCAAUGGCGAAGGCAGCUUGCUGGGACGGUACUGACGCUGAGGCGCGAAAGCGUGGGGAGCAAACAGG
rnacentral:rRNA from 1 species